GUGGAAGGAGCUGGAUGCUCUACAUGGUGAUCAUGGACACCUGAGCGAUUGGAUGAACAGGUGACACAACGGUGGCCACAGAAGCACCGAUGAUUUAGAGAAGCUAUUGAGGAAACUGUCUCUUGUCUUUGAGAUGAUCUAUGCAUAUUUGCUGCCGGUGGGACAUACCACAGUGUCAGUAAUGAAGGCUGAACAGUUUGAACUUGCUGUGAGACCUCUGUUUGGGGGAGUAACCCUGGUGUUUCAGUGGGUACUGCUUUGAACUACAUCUACCAAAACCUGAUGUCAGGUGCCCUUGAAUGAAGUAUCUGGUGCUUGUCAGGAUGGAAUGAGGUGUUGACGGUGCCAGUAGAGAUGGAUAAACUUAAUUCAGGGUGAAUCAGUCCUGGUUUUGCCACACAGGGGUCCUUGAACCAGGAAUGCUGCUGACACUGUGUGUUCCCAGGACUAGGAGUGAAACAAAGGAGGUCAGUUAUGUUCCUGAUGAAGCUAGGUGGCCGGAAGAACAUGUCCUUAGGGAGGCAAGACUAUUUCUUCCACAUGUAAACUCAUUUUUUUGACCAAGGACCAGAAGCAGCAGCAGAGCCUGCAAGGAUAACGUGACCAUAAGUUCAUGGUUCUUCUGUGACUGAGCUGCCCACCUGGAAGGUUAUUCAAGCAAAAGAAGACCCAACCACUGUGACCACCUCCACAGAGCCAAGGAAACAGGGACCGUUCAAUGAGGGAAAACACUUUACUGAAGAGGCAAAGCAUCUUCAUUGCUCUAGAAGUAUUCCUUAAAUAAACAUUCAUAGAAAAGAUGCCUUUUCAUCCUGUGUGCAUGUGGGAGAGCGUGAAUGCCUCUUGGUCCUCCAUGUCUUAGGCUGGCCACAUGCUCUGUCCCUGGGCUGGACACCUCUUUACAAGGGAUUAAAGGGAAGUGUCGGACCCGGGGAUCUCCAGGAAACCAAGGAGUAAUCUCCAAAGCACUGGGAGACCUAAAGAAAGCAAACCCUCCCCGACAUGGCAAACGCAUCUGAACUUCUCAGUUACAAGUAAAGGUGUUCUGGUCCACUCAUUUGCUUGCAGCAUUCACCCUCUCCCCAGGACUCUGCAGACAAAAUGAAAAUGAGCAGAAAAAUAGAAGAAUUGAGUAUCUUUUAAAAAUUGUUAGCUAGAUGUUCAGCCUCUCAGUUUGCUUAGAGCAAUUAUGGAUGGAUUAGCUGAAUGGAUGGUGUUGCAUUUUGCUUUUUAAUCUGUGGAGGAAAGGGUAGAGCCCAGGCAGCCGCUGUGAUGGUGCAGAGCUGAAGCCCUCUCAUUGUGCUGCAGCGCAGGAGCUGCCCCUGUGCAUGCGCUCAGCCCCAUCCUGAUACAGCCAGGAUCAGCUCUGCUCAACCUAUACACGUAGCUCAGUCCUCGUUAUUGCUUCUACAAGCCUCCCUGUUAUUCUGUGUCUCUGAGCUGCUCGGUGGCUAGCAGAGGGCUGUGCCUGAGGCUCAGGGCCAAGAGGUUCCAGCAAAGCUCCGCCUGCUUCAGCACAUCUGCUCUCUUUUCUCCUCUCUCUGAGCCCUAUUUACGCUUCGUUUUAGCCUGAAUAUGUGCAUCCUGGUUG